GGAGCCGUAGCGAAAGCGAGUUUUAACUGAGCGUUCAGUUACUUGACGUAGACCCGAAACCGGGCGACCUACCCAUGAGCAGGAUGAAGCGAAAGUAAAAUUUCGUGGAGGUCCGAACCCACGAGCGUUGAAAAGCUCGGGGAUGACUUGUGGGUAGCGGUGAAAUUCCAAUCGAGCCCGGAGAUAGCUGGUUCUCCCCGAAAUAGCUUUAGGGCUAGCCUCAAGGUGAGAGAUACGGAGGUAGAGCACUGAAUGUCCUAGGGGGUAUUGCACCUACCGAAGACUAUCAAACUCCGAAUGCCGUCAUCUUAUACUUGGGAGUCAGACUGUGGGUGAUAAGAUUCAUAGUCGAAAGGGCAACAGCCCAGAUCGUCAGCUAAGGUCCCUAAAUGUAAGUUAAGUGGUAAAGGAUGUGGGAUUGCACAGACAACCAGGAUGUUGGCUUAGAAGCAGCCACUCAUUCAAAGAGUGCGUAAUAGCUCACUGGUCGAGUGAUCCUGCGCCGAAGAUUUCCGGGGCUAAAACUUACUACCGAAGCUACGGCAUCAGUAAUGAUGGGUAGGGGAGCUUCCCAUACGGGUUGAAGCAUGACCGUAAGGACAUGUGGACAGUAUGGGAGUGAGAAUGUUGGCAUGAGUAGCGAGAUGUGGG
rnacentral:rRNA from 1 species